rnacentral:SRP_RNA from 1 species
GGUUUAAGAUCUUGCGGCAUAGUAGUAUCGAACCGUGUCAGGCCUGGAAGGGAGCAGCACUAAGGUAACACUAUGGGUGUGAGGAAAUUUUAGGCUCUU